CGCGGCCUAUCAGCUUGUUGGUGGGGUAAUGGCCUACCAAGGCUUUGACGGGUAGCCGGCCUGAGAGGGUGACCGGCCACACUGGGACUGAGACACGGCCCAGACUCCUACGGGAGGCAGCAGUGGGGAAUAUUGGACAAUGGGCGGAAGCCUGAUCCAGCAACGCCGCGUGGGGGAUGAAGGCCUUCGGGUUGUAAACCUCUUUCAGUACCGACGAAGCUUUUUGUGACGGUAGGUACAGAAGAAGCACCGGCCAACUACGUGCCAGCAGCCGCGGUAAUACGUAGGGUGCGAGCGUUGUCCGGAAUUAUUGGGCGUAAAGAGCUCGUAGGUGGUUCGUCGCGUCUGCUGUGAAAGUCCGAGGCUUAACCUCGGAUCUGCAGUGGGUACGGGCGGACUAGAGUGCGGUAGAGGAGAUCGGAAUUCCUGGUGUAGCGGUGGAAUGCGCAGAUAUCAGGAGGAACACCGGUGGCGAAGGCGGAUCUCUGGGCCGUAACUGACGCUGAGGAGCGAAAGCAUGGGGAGCGAACAGGCUUAGAUACCCUGGUAGUCCAUGCCGUAAACGUUGGGCGCUAGGUGUGGGGUCCUAUCCACGGAUUCCGUGCCGCAGCUAACGCAUUAAGCGCCCCGCCUGGGGAGUACGG
rnacentral:rRNA from 1 species